rnacentral:rRNA from 1 species
CAAAGAAUUGACGGGACCCGCACAAGCAGCGGAGCGUGUGGUUUAAUUCGAGGCUACACGAAGAACCUUACCAGGGUUUGACAUGCAAGUGGUAGGAAUCCGAAAGGUGACCGACCCUUCGGGGAGCUUGCACAGGUGCUGCAUGGCUGUCGUCAGCUCGUGUCGUGAGAUGUUCGGUUAAGUCCGCUAACGAGCGCAACCCUCGUCGUGUGUUAUACGUGUCACACGAUACUGCCGGUAUCAAGCCGGAGGAAGGUGGGGAUGAUGUCAAGUCAGCAUGGCCUUUAUAUCCUGGGCUACACACACGCUACAAUGGCAGAUACAAUAGGUUGCGAAACCGCGAGGUGGAGCCAAUCCUACAAAGUCUGUCUCAGUUCAGAUUGUAGGCUGCAACUCGCCUGCAUGAAGUUGGAGUUGCUAAGUAAACGCAGGUCAGCUAUACUGCGUUGAAUACGUCCGGGUUU